ACGCACGGCCGGCCCAUAGGGGCCGGACACUGUCGGGGUUGUCCGUCUAGACAUUUAGGAAUAGGGAUCCGGAUAUAGAUGCUCCAAGUCGAUUUUCACAGUGAAACGGUUCUCUCCUAAUUUCUUGCUUCUUUGUUUUUUGUGGAUUGUUUACUUAUCGCCUUUUGUAUUCGAUUCGAUCUCACCUUCAUCUCAUGUUUUGUAAACAGAUCCUCCUUGCCGUGCCAUGGCACGGCCAGCGUCCCUCGACUGUGAUUCUGACGACUAUGACUCCGACUCCGGCUAUGCUUCCGGUGACGAAACUCGGCCUAAUAAGCGUCUUGUGUAUGAUUCUGAUGGAGGACUCUACAUUGAUGAUGAUGAUGAUGACGACGACAACGAUGACGACAUCGACGACGAGGAGGAUGAAUAGAAAGCCACGUAACAGCUGGUAAUGUUUUGAUCUCUGAUCAUUCCUUCAUUUUCUAUAAGUUCGUGUUGGUACUCAUCGCUAUGAUUAUGAACAUAAUUUGCAGUUUCCUUCGUUCUUCUAAAAAAGUUCACAUCGGUAGUCUGAUCGCAAUGAAUAUGAAGAUAAUUUGCAGUUUCCUUCACUAUGAAGAUUAAUCGAUCUUAGUAUUGAACUGAAAAUUUUACAUUAUUCUAGUGUCGAGGAAAGCUGCGAGAGAUUUGGUUAAUUCCGUGUCUGUUCCUUUGAAAGUAAGGGGACUGGUGUGAACUGUGAAUAUUUUAGUGCAGUUUGUCCUUUCCGCUUAUUUGUUCAUCAUCAGGAACCAUUAGAGUUCUAUAUAUCCAACUUCGUGAGUUUUUUUCGAAUUAAGGAGCUUUCGCUCCUGAUUUCAUUUAAUUGAAAAGGAAUUACUCCUACCUAGUAGUGAGCUGAGGGUGAUGUUUCACUUUAUUAAAAAGGACGAGAUCAACCACGGUCCAUGGUACCUUUCUAUAUAAGGAAAGCGGAGUAUCAUGAAUGGACUGAUUAGAUAGGGACAUGCACAAGUCAGACUUCAAACAAAAGACCUGGUGUUUGGUCUGACCAAAUUUGUCAAGUCGCUCGCUCAUCGUUCUCGGUCUGGGCGGGCAGCUUCGUGGACCUCCUGAGAUCUUGCGUCCCGUCACUUCGCCUAUGCUUUCUUUUCAUUGAUAUAAUAAACCUGGUCUGUUAGGUUAGUAUGAAUGCCAGUUUUGUUUGGCCUGGGUGCUGUUUUGUCUUGCUUGCUUCUGCACAUAUUUUCUGUUUGGAUUUUACUCGCAGCCACGCUUGUGCACUUGCAAUUUAAUUUGUGCCUUCUUGGCGGUUUCUAGCACGAAACUAGUACUAGUAUUCAUUAUUAAACGACACCCAUUUUGGUGCUUGCAUGGAAGAAAAAAGGAAUACUUUCGAAACUGUAUUCUUGAAAAUUCCUAUGCUUCAGCUAGGUGGAAAUUCCUCGAGCUUGUCUUCAAUUCGCAAGGUUUUAAUUUGCUGCUAGUGUAUACUGUAAGCGCUGACCAUGGUUCUUGUGUUGUGGCAGGGAGGCUGGCAUGGCAUGAAGAGGCCAGCAGAAGCAGUUACGGAGUGCAAGUCUAGCUAGUGGCAGAAAUGUUGUUUUUGUAAAUAUGUUUGCUUGUGUGAUGAGACCAAAUGUAAAUGUAUUGAUGUGAUUGAACUAACUGUUAGCGUUUUACUACAUAAGAAGGCACUGUCAGCAUUUGAUACCCCUCCUUUUUGCUCCAGCUCUUUGCUUAAAUCGCUGAACUGUUUGCGUAAGCUAUCCUGCAGCGCUUCGUCAUUGAUAUUUCAGAGUUCACUGCUGAGUUGCAUAAUGUGGAAAGCAGAGAUACAUUGCAGACAAACAAUAGAAUGAAAAUA
rnacentral:lncRNA from 1 species